rnacentral:rRNA from 1 species
GCUGGCGGCAGGCCUAACACAUGCAAGUCGAGCGGUAACAUUUCUAGCUUGCUAGAAGAUGACGAGCGGCGGACGGGUGAGUAACGCGUAGAAAUCUACCUAGUAGUGGGGGAUAGCCCAGAGAAAUUUGGAUUAAUACCGCAUACGCCCUACGGGGGAAAGCGGGGGAUCUUCGGACCUCGUGCUAUUAGAUGAGUCUGCGUCGGAUUAGCUUGUUGGUGAGGUAAUGGCUCACCAAGGCGACGAUCCGUAGCUGGUCUGAGAGGAUGACCAGCCACACUGGAACUGAGACACGGUCCAGACUCCUACGGGGGGCAGCAGUGGGGAAUAUUGCACAAUGGGCGCAAGCCUGAUGCAGCCAUGCCGCGUGUGUGAAGAAGGCCUUAGGGUUGUAAAGCACUUUCAGCAGUGAGGAAAGGGGUGUCGUUAAUAGCGCCAUCCUGUGACGUUAACUGCAGAAGAAGGACCGGCUAACUCCGUG